AUGUCCGUUGAGUCAAUGAUGUCAUCCAACCAUCGCAUCCUUUGUCCCCUUCUUCUCCUGCCUUCAAUCUUUCCCAGCAUCAGGGUCUUUUCCAGUGAGUCAGUUCUUCAUUUCAGGUGGUCAGACUAUUGGAACUUCAGCAUCAGUCCUUCCAAUGAAUAUUCAAGGUUGAUUUCCUUUAGGAUUUACUGGUUUGAUCUCCCCGCUGUCCAACAGACUCUGAACAGUCUUCUCCAGCGCCAUAAAACCAUUCAAUGCCACCGUACACUGAGCUACCCUGUCUUCCUAUGUCUGAAACUGAAUAAAGCAUUUUCUGUUGACGGAAAUGAUACUGCCAAGGAGACAGAGCUAGCAGCUGCAGGAACUUUUACAAUUAUGACUCUAAGGAGAGCCACAGUAUCCAGAUCAACCCAGGGUUUCCCUGAUGGCUCAGCGGUUAGAAGAAUCCACCUGCAAUGCAGGAGACACAAGAGAUGCAGAUUUGAUUCUUGGGUCUGGAAGAUCCCCCUGGAGAAGGAAAUGGCAACCCACUCCAGUAUUCUUGCCUAGAAAAAAAUCUCAUGGACAGAAGAACCUGGUGGGCUACAUUCCAAAGGACCUCAAAGAGUCAGAUAGGACUGAGCAACUGAGAAUGCAGACCAACCGAACCCUCCUCCUUUAUACCAAAGGCUCACUGAAUUUACCUCUUUCAUCAUUCAUUCUUUCUGCCCUCGUGUGUGGUGGAUUCAUCACAUAGAAAAUUCCCUUUCUUAGUUGGAACUGGAUUUCAAGAGUGAGAAUGGGCAGGUCACGUGGUGUUCCCUGUCAACAGUGGAUCAUUUCCUGGUCUAGGACGUCUUGGUGGAGGUGGAGGGAUGUCCUCCAUCUGGGAACCCUCAGCUGCUAACAGGAGAGACCAUUUAGGCCCCCACAUUUCAUGUAAUUUUGUCUCCUAAAAAUAAGAGCUCCAAGUAGUCAUUCUGGCCUUGACUUAUUGGGAUGACCAAAAAGUUCAUUUGGGUGUAAGAUGUUAUGGGAAGGGUUUCCCUAGUGCCUCAGAGGGUAAAGUGUCGUGCCUGCAACGUGGGAGACCCAGGUUCGAUCCCUGGGUCAGGGAGAUCCCCUGGAGAUGGAAAUGGCAAACUGCUCCAGUAUUCUUGCCUGGAGAAUUCCAUGGACGGAGGAGCUUGGCGGGCUACAGUUCAUGGGGUUGUAAAGAGUCAGACACAGCUGAGCAAUUAACACUUUCAACUUGUUAUGGGAAAACCCAAAUGAACUUUUUGGCCAACCCAAUACUUUACUGCUGAAAACUUUCUUGUAUACAUUCCCUUUUGAAGGAUAUCAUACUUCAGACUGGACCAAACAAAUCUCUGUGGCCCUUUCACUUCCUGAUCUUUCUCUCCUUUAAGUCACUCAGUCACCCUCCUUAACUAUCUUCUACACUUCAUUAAGAAUGGUUUCAGUGUGUUCCAUUUCUGAGAAAGAUAUCUCCAACUAAAUUUCCACCUUAGUUCCCAAUAGGCUUUGCUUACUGAUUAGGUCAUGAAGGUUUCUGGAAGCUAAAUUGGAAGUAUUAAUAUUUGUAACUACAGUUGCUGAGAUCUAUAUCUAUAUAUCUGUGAAGUCUGCUACAAGAUGAGAAUGAGUUUUAAAUUGAUCUUUAAGUGUUGAACAACCAUGUCCACUGGAACGUUUUAGACAUCUCUUCUGAACUUAUCACUUCGUGUCAUGGGUGGGUCAACUUUCACAGUUUCUCCAGACGUUUUUUCCCCCUUUCAGUGUGGGGCACAUACACCAGCCGGAAACCCACUUUCCGAGAGCAGUCUCCCAGGCGCUGAGCAGCGCUCUGGUGCGGGCCAUGAGCUCUUUGUACACUAGCAGCAUUUUCAGAGUUUUUUGAUUUUGGUGGUGGUGUUUGAUUUGUCCCUGAAUCCACUGUUGGAAGCACAUCCAUUUAUUGUCUAUAGAUUCCAAAAAGCUCUGUAAAAUAUAACUUAAGGACAUGAUUUGCACUGCUGAGUCAGGCUGUUGGGAUUUUGCAGUUUGGGUUUGUUAACUCUGAAGGGGAAUAAUGGCUUGUGGAGCACAGCUGAGCCUGUGCCUCACUGAAUGGGGUUCCAUGGCUUCUUCUCUAGAGUCCUUGAAUUCCUUGGUGGAUGGGGUAAUGUUGUAAAUGGAUGUAGUGGGUUGAAUUGUGGCCCCUGAGAAUAUGUCCACUUGGAAUGUGACUUUAUUUGUAGUAAGGAUCUUUGCAGAUGUGAUAAGGUGAGGAUCUUGAGAUGAGAUCAUCUUGAAUUAGGGUGGGCUCCAAAUUUCUUAUAAGACAGGUCCGUAUAAGACAAGAGAAGGGGGAAGAUACAGACACACAGAGAAGGCCAUGUGAAGAUGGAGCCAGAUUGGACUAUGUAGCCGAAAGCCAAGGAAUGCCAAGGGUUGCUGGCAGCCCCAGAAGCAAGGACAGAAACAUCCAACGAUUCUCUAUCAGUACUUCCAGAAAGAAUCAACCUUUCUGAUAACUUGAAUUCAGAUUUCUGGCCUCCAGAACUGUUAUAGCAUAAAUUUCUGUUACUUUAAGGGAGCAAGUUUCUGGUAAUUUAUUAUGACAACCCUAGGAAACAAAUACAAUAAGGGUUGUCAAAUGAAAUAUUUUACAUAUAGGAAGGAGUGUGUUAUUUAAAGCAAGGAUUGGCAAACCAAAGCCUGAAGGCCAAUCUGGCUGCUGACUAUUUUUUUAAAUAAAGUUUUAUUGAAACACA
ensembl:lncRNA